GCGAGGAGGGCCACAUCUCCAGGGACUGCCCCCAGGGCGGCGGCGGUGGCGGCGGAUACGGCGGUGGUGGCUAUGGAGGAGGCGGCGGCGGCGGCCGCGAGUGCUACAAGUGCGGCGAGGAGGGCCACAUCUCCAGGGACUGCCCCCAGGGCGGUGGUGGUGGCGGCGGCGGCGGCGGCUACGGAGGCGGUGGUGGCCGUGGCGGCGGCGGCGGCGGUGGCGGCUGCUUCUCCUGCGGCGAGUCCGGCCACUUCUCCCGCGAGUGCCCCAACAAGGCCCACUAGGCGGCACAGCUCUUCAGAUCUGAGUGCCCCGUUUACCCUCGCUCCUUUACCUACCUCCUGAUUCUGCAGCAAGUCAUACCCUAUACCUAUCAGUACUAGUAUUAGUCGCCGUAGCGUUUCCCCCUGCUGCUCGAUCCGAGCUUGGUUCCAGAAGAAUUGCUGGUGGUGUGUUCGUCGUUAAGAUCCAAGUUAUUUUGUUGUCUCUCUGUGAUGAGGACACAGAUCUAUCUAUGUGUUGGAUGGACUAAGUUAUCGAAGUCAAGUUUGGUUUCUUGAGAUUGAUCUAUGAUCUUGCAUGCCUAGUGUUUAUCUUGCAUGUCUGCCAGGCUUGAAAGCGUUGAUUCUGAUAUUCUGUUCUAGGCUAGUGGUGGUGGAUUAUUUUGGAAUCCUGUUCUCCCAUUUAUGUGCGAUUCCAUUGGCGUUUUGAUAGUGGUAUGAUUCGCAAGUUUGAUGCUUCAUGUUCAACAGGUUCAUGGUUCCAAAUCUUCAACAGGUCAAUUCUUAUAUGUUCUUGUGCCACUGUCUGCUGUUAGUAGAUUCUUCACAUGCCACUAGCUUGCAAAAUGCAUCCUAGAUCUUUUUGCAUCCGUCCUAAGCAAGACACGUUGAUUCCUUGCUAUGAUAGAAGACAAAUUCAAUCAGCUCUGCUGUUCCCAUUACGCCCACAUUUCAUUAUAAGCUUAAUCUGAAUUCAGCAGUCUCUUGCUUAAGAAAGAAGGCACCUUAGCUUACUGAUUAAGCCUGAAGCUCCGUUGCAGCUUAGUGGAGUAGUGUGCUUUGUCUGGGAUGAACAGAAUGGAAUCAUGUCGCUUUAGACUUGGGGGAUGCGAAGAAUAACAGCCUAAAUUUUUAUCUCCUUCCAACAAAUGACUCUAGAGCACAUGAACUAUGAUUGAAUAAAUCUUUAUGAGCUUACGCUUUUUAGCAUUUUUCAUAGGAAAUUUAAUAGCCACUCCCAAAUGAAACCAUGAUAUGAAGUACACAUCUCAAAUUUUCCAGAUCUCCUGUGUCCUUUGCAGGCAACGAGCAGGGGGAGGGACCCUGCCCCUGCAGUCGUACUUGGUAGUCUUUUUAGUCCUGAAUGGCACUUUGUCGGGUAAUCUCAUCGGGGAGGAAACUCCGGCGAGCCCUGUUCGUGGCCGCCAUAGCUGUUGAUGUGCUCGUCCUCUUCGAUGCUGGCAACAACUUUCUGCAACGCAUCUUAAGCGCGGUAGUCGGCGUUAGUGUAGGGAUGGAGGCAACCAAAUCGGUUUCUCCCAAGUUCCCUUUGUUUCCCUUUAGCUCCAACAAAUUCCUUGUAGAAUUUGGUCAUCUUUAUUUCGUUUCUCUAGCGUUGUUGGUCUAGGUUUUCUCUCCAAUUUACCUUGUGGUCUCUGCUUAUUGGUAUGAAUUGAAGACUGCCUUGAAUUCCUAACUUAUGGCUUGGGUUCCUCCUUAUACGUUUUCAUGGUCGAUUGGUUGCUAGGUCCAAUCAAUGCUUGUCGAUGCUCUCUCCAACCUCUCUGACUUGGGGCCCCGCAUGGUGACCAUUGUUUCAACCUGGUGGCGCUGUAGGGGCCACUCCGUGGUACUCUCUCCGGUCCGAUUUACUCAGUCGUGGCUUUAGUUUAAAUUGAACUAAAAUCAUGACGAGUAAAUCGGAAUGGAGGGAGUAGGUUUUAUAGGGCGCAUUUCUCACGGUCGGAGCUUGGUUGUUGAAGAUUGUAGUAGGACAAGAGGGGUGGUGGUUUUUUUUUUUCAAAUCAAACGCAGAAGAGAAUUAUCCAGUUAAUUAACGAGAAACCAGGUGAAAACCGUCAUAAUCCGCUGAGCGGCACACAUAGUAUACCCCACACGCCCCCUUUGAGAGGGCCUCGCCGAGCUAGUACACAUGUGUCAUCAUCAUCACUUCUUCAAAAGCGACGUCAUUGCCAUCCCUAAUCCCCGUCAUCACUUCUUCAAAAGCGACGUCAUUGCCAUCCCUAAUCCCCGAGCAAACGACUCUGAUUUCAUCGUAGACAAGCAUCAACCCAACGCACACCAUAGGGGUCAUGUGGAGACAAAUGAAGAUCUGCACUAGCACUCAACCAUCCGCGUCAAGGACAGCGCAACUCUUCCUCUGGAUGAGAGCUAGGAAGAAGAACUAUACAAGGUUGGCGCCGUGAAAACCACUGAAUAGACCACAUGUUGCUCGUUAUCGUUGAUACAUGGCCCUGCCGUCGCAGCUCCGACUUCGUAGCAACAAACAGACCAAGGCAAUCCCACGAACACGCCGAAGAAGAGCCGACUAACACAACAAUUGCCGUGCCUCCGACCUCGCUCACCCCGCCAUUGUUGCCAUAGCAGGUAGAUGUUGGUGAAUGAACUAUUAGAACUAUUAGAACCAUUGUCGGCGACUAACACAACCAUUGUCGCGCAUUCGACCUCGCUCACCCCACCAUUGUUGGCACAUAAGCUAGAUGUAGAGGGGUGGUGUUGAUGAAUGAACUAUUAGAACUAUUGCUACCAGAACUUAGAUGAUGUUCUGAAUUAUAAUUCUUAACAAUUUUAAGCUUACCUAGCGAUGCCUAGAACACCCUGCACAUACAAGUCUAACAAAGAGUAAAGCGACGAAGCAAAACUUGAUACUACAGGGAGUGAGUCUAGGAGAUUGCAAACUCAAGGAGGUUUCAUGACAUAUUUCAUCUUAUAGUUGGUGCUAUCCUACUCCAUAUUGAAGAAGACGUCAAUCCACGAACGUUCUAGGAUCACGAAGACCUCGAUUGCCAAGUCCAUGGAGUACUUUGCCUACAGGAAAAGGAGGAGUAAAAUGGUACUUCACCCCCAAGAGGUUUCAACUUUGUGGUGGGUGAGCUAAUAACAGGUAAGUUUUGAUGGCAUCUAGCUAUCUUAAGCAGAUGGAAUCUGAUUCGUGACCCAACUAGGGGGUAUAUAGGGUAUACCAUGAAUCCUACUUAAGCUCUUGAGUGGAUUGGGGCCCCUCUAGAGAAGUAUUAGUUUGAGUUCGUGAUUUUUCAUCAAAAAGGUUCUUUCGUUUUCUUGGCCGAGGGACGAUUGUUGUAGCAAGUUUGCGAGGUAAGAUUGAUCUCAUAAAGCUUCAUGAAAUAAUUCAAUGGAAUGCGACCUGCAAAAAACAAGAAGUUCCAACGUGUUUCUACAUAUUUGAUUUUUUUCCUUUUCAGCCCCCUGCUGUUUGUUUUUUCUGUACAGUACUAUGAUGAUAACAAUAUUAUGUUUUGAAACAUUUUGAGGUGGUAAAUAACAUUCAAAUAAUGCGUGUGUGAUUUUUUUCAAAUAUUUCUGCGCACCACUGGUGGUCGUAACAAAGACUUGACCUGGGAGUAGCUAGUCAAACAUAUCCGUUGAAGUCUGUCCAACCCACUGUCACCACCCAUUGACGUUGGUUUUUCCCGAGGCUCGCUGGCACUCGCAGCCGCAGCUUGGCUUUCCUGAGAACUGAGAAGGGACGAUAGGGGAGGAGGAGGUGGGGAUUUCGAAAUUCAAAAUUCACACUCUCCUCUCCUUUCGUCAGGGCAACUGCAACGCCCGUCCAUCAAAUUGUGUGUAAACAUUUGGACCAUACUUUUUAAGGGUAUAUUUGGACCAUACUUGUGUGUAAACAUUUGGACCAUGCUGUUUGGACAAUUUGUGCCCUUCAACGUCGUCCAUCAAAUGUCCAUGGACUAGUUCGUGCGUCGGAAUAACCGUAAAACCGGAAGCAAACCUAGAGGAGGCCGUCGCACUUCGACACACCCUGCCAAGACAAAAGCGAGGCGGAGCCUGCGCAUUUGGACAUUUUCGCGUGAAUGCCCGCACUUUCCCAUCGCCUCUGCUUCGAUCACCGUCACCACCCACCCCGGUUCCCGCCCGUUUCACAGUCCGCCGCCGUGAUGGAGCCGAAGGAGGUGGUGAUGGAGAUGUCCGUAGUUUAGUUUUGUCGGGUCAAGAUACGAAGGACCUAUUGGUGGUGCCUGCCCGCAAGGCCAACACGACGACACACACCACCCAUUGCCGCAAACAGAGGUAGACAAAGGAUGCUUUGAUGGUGGCUGGUCACCCAGUUCUUCGCCCGGCAAAGCAUGCGAUUCGUCGGGUGUGAGUCGUCAGUCGUGCAAUCGCCUUCACCCUGGUCGGCACAUAUGAUUCCGCCAUACUACUUCGCCGCCACGUAGUCCGGUCCGCAGCCCCUACCGUCACCACCAGCCCUCGCGUCCCGUACAAUAUCGACCUCAAUGGGGAGUACAACUUUAUGGAGUCAUAGUCGUCGGUGCUUGUCCAGCCUCCACGCCCAUCGGUGCAUGGUCUUUGUUUGCUGGGAUGUUUCAGUCGAGCGCGAUGAGUGGAUGAUGAUGAGGCGCUGAUGAAUAUGAUACACGACAACGACGACUAUGAAGGCGGGCAAGUAGAUGACACCUAGCUGGUGGUGUGGUGGUGGGCGCCCAACAGAUGCACACUUAGAUGUUAAUAACUAGCAAUCGCAGACCCGGCCGAAAAGAAGGGCGAGCCGUUUGACAAGUUCAUCGUGGUGCAAGAAAAUUUGGCACGAACAAACGGUCUUGCAGGUAAAAAAGAGGUUUGUGAAANNNNNNNNNNNNNNNNNNNNNNNNNNNNNNNNNNNNNNNNNNNNNNNNNNNNNNNNNNNNNNNNNNNNNNNNNNNNNNNNNNNNNNNNNNNNNNNNNNNNNNNNNNNNNNNNNNNNNNNNNNNNNNNNNNNNNNNNNNNNNNNNNNNNNNNNNNNNNNNNNNNNNNNNNNNNNNNNNNNNNNNNNNNNAUUCUUCUAAGACGGGAGAGUUUGACGAAUAGCAAAGUAACGAUAUUGAAACAGAAGAGAAACUAGAUCAUCACAGUAAAGCAAGACAUGCACACAUGAUAGAUGCAGAUGACGAACAUGCAAUCAUACAUACAAUAAAAUGUAAACAUGAUGAGCUGAAGGAAUGAAAGGCAUCCAGAUGAAAGUCUUCAGAAUGCGGACGUACUAAAAGUAAAUGGUUGAGGAAUAUGAAACUAGGAUAGCUCAGUGAUGACAUGAUGAUUUGUUUGAGUAGUUCAAGUUAUUGCAUCAGCUAUACGUCUGGUUAGGGAGGCUGAGAUUGAACUCAGAUGACACUAAGUAUUCACCUUAUUCCCCUUGAGCUAAGGUCACUUAGACCCCAUCCAAUUGAAGGAAAUAUGCCCUUGGGGCAAUAAUAAAGUUGUUAUUUAUAUCAUGAUAAAUGUUUACUAUUCAUGCUAGAAUUGUAUUAACCGAAAACUUGAUACAUGCAUGGAUACAUAGAUAAAACACUGUGUCCCUGGUAACCUCUACUAGAAUAGCUCGUUAAUCAAAGAUGGUUAAGUUUCCAAACCAUAGACAUGUGUUGUCAUUUGAUGAACGGGAUUACACCAUUAGGAGAAUGAUGUGAUGAACAAGACUCAUUUGUUAGCUUAGCAUAUUUAUUGUUCAGUUUUAUUGCUAUUGCUUUCUUCAUGUCAAAUACAUAUUCCUUCGACUAUGAGAUUAUGCAACUCCCGGAUACCGGAGGAAUACCUUGUGUGCUAUCGAACGUCACAAUGUAACUGGGUGAUUGUAAAGAUGCUCUACAGGUAUCUACGAAGGUGUUUGUUGGGUUGGCAUAGAUCGAGAUUAGGAUUUGUCACUCCGAGCAUCAGAGAGGUAUCUCUGGGCCCUCUCGGUAAUGCACACCAUAAGAAGCCUUGCAAGCAAGUGACUAAUGAGUUAGUUACAGGAUGAUGUAUUACGGAACGAGUAAAGAGACUUGCCGGUAACGAGAUUGAACUAGGUAUGAAGAUACCAACGAUCGAAUCUCGGGCAAGUAACAUACCGAUGACAAAGGGAAUAACAUAUGUUGUCAUUACGGUUCGACCGAUAAAGAUCUUCGUAGAAUAUGUGGGAACCAAUACGAGCAUCCAGGUUCUGCUAUUGGUUAUUGAUAAACUAUUCCGAUGUCCAAACAUAACCUUCCAAUAUAUCAAUCUUUAUGUCUAGACCAUUUCGAGACUCCUCGUCAUGUCCGUGAUCUCAUCUGGGACUCCGAACAAACUUCGGUUCAUCAAAACAUAUAACUCAAAUCGUCAUUGAACGUUAAGCGUGCGGACCCUAUGGGUUUGAGAACUAUGUAGACAUGACGGAGACACAUCUUCGGUCAAUAGCCAAUAGCGAAACCUGUAUGCUCAUAUUGGCUCCUACAUAUUCUAUGAAGAUCUUUAUCGGUCAAACCGUAUAACAACAUACGUUGUUCCUGUCAUCGGUAUGUUACUUGCCCGAGAUUCGAUCGUCUGUAUCAUCAUACCUAGUUCAAUAUCGUUACCGGCAAGUCUCUUUACUCGUUCCGUAAUGCAUCAUCCCGUGGCUAGCUAACUCAUUACACACAUUGCUUGCAAGGCUCAUAGUGAUGUGCAUUACCGAGAGGGCCCAGAGAUACCUCUUUGAUACACAGAGUGACAAAUCCUAAUCUCGAUCUCUGCCAACUCAACAAACACCAUCGGAGACAUCUGUAGAGCAUCUUUAUAAUAACCCAGUUACAAUGUGACGUUUGAUAGCACACAAGGUAUUCCUCCAGUAUUCGGGAGUUGCAUAAUCUCAUAGUCAGAGGAACAUGUAUAAGUCAUGAAGAACGCAAUAGCAAUAAAACUAAACGAUCAUUAUGCUAAGCUAACGGAUGGGUCUUGUCCAUCACAUCAUUCUCUAAUGAUAUGAUCCCAUUCAUCAAAUGACAACACAUGUCUAUGGUCACGAAACUACACCAUCUUUGAUUAACGAGCUAGUCUAGUAGAGGCAUACUAGGGACACUCUGUUUGUCUAUGUAUUCACACAUGUACUAAGUUUUUGGUUAAUACAAUUCUAGCAUGAAUAAAAAACAUUUAUCAUAAUAUAAGGAAAUAUAAAUAACAACUUUAUUAUUGCCUCUAGGGCAUAUUUCCUUCAGUCUCCCACUUGCACUAGAGUCAAUAAUCUAGAGUACAUAGUAAUGAUUCUAACACCCAUGGAGUCUUGGUGCUGAUCAUGUUUUGCUUGUGAGAGAGGAUUAGUCAACGGGUCUGCAACAUUCAGAUCCGUAUGUAUCUUGCAAAUCUCUAUGUCUCCCUCCUUGACUUGAUCGCGGAUGGAAUUGAAGCAUCUCUUGAUGUGUUUGGUUCUCUUGUGAAAUCCGGAUUCCUUCGCCAAGGCAAUUGCUCCAGUAUUGUGACAAAAGAUUUUCAUUGGACCCAAUGCACUAGGUAUGACACCUAGGUCGGAUAUGAACUCCUUCAUCUAGACUCCUUCAUUUGCUGCUUCUGAAGCAACUAUGUACUCCGCUUCACACGUAGAUCCCGCCACGACGCUCUGCUUGGAACUGCACCAACUGAAAGCUCCACCAUUCAAUAUAAAUACAUAUCCGGCUUGUGACUUAGAGUCAUCCGGAUCAGUGUCAAAGCUUGCAUCGACGUAACCAUUUACGACGAGCUCUUUGUCACCUCCAUAAACGAGAAACAUAUCCUUAGUCCUUUUUAUGUAUUUCAGGAUGUUCUUGAUUGUUGUCCAGUGAUCCUCUUCUGAAUUACUUUGGUACCUCCCUACUAAAAUAAUAGCAAGGCACACAUAAGGUCUGGUACACAACAUUUCAUACAUGAUAGAACCUAUGGCUGAGGCAUAGGGAAUGACUUUCAUUUUAUCUCUAUCUCCUGCAAUGGUCGGGCAUUGAGUCUGACUCAACUUCACACCUUGUAACAUAGGCAAGAACCCUUUCUUCGACCGAUCCAUUUUGAACUUCUUCAAAAAUUUAUCAAGGUAUGUGCCUUUUGAAAGUCCAAUUAAGCGUCUUGAUCUAUCUCUAUAGAUCUUGAUGCCCAAUAUAUAAGCAGCUUCACCGAGGUCUUUCAUUGAAAAAUUCUUAUUCAAGUAUCCUUUUAUGCUAUUCAGAAAUUCAAUAUCAUUUCCAAUCAACAAUAUGUCGUCCACAUAUAAUAUAAGAAAUGCUACAGAGCUCCCACUCACUUUCUUGUAAAUACAGGCUUCUCCAAAAGUCUGUAUAAAACCAUAUGCUUUGAUCACACAAUCAAAGCGUAUAUUCCAACUCCGAGAGGCUUGCACCAGUCCAUAAAUGGAUCGCUGGAGUUUGCACACUUUGUUAGCACCUUUUGGAUCGACAAAACCUUCUGGUUACAUCAUAUACAACUCUUCUUUAAGAUAUCCAUUAAGGAAUACAGUUUUGACAUCCAUUUGCGAAAUUUCAUAAUCAUAAAAUGCGGCAAUUGCUAACAUGAUUUGGACAGACUUAAGCAUCGUUACGGGUGAGAAGGUCUCAUCGUAGUCAACUCCUUGAACUUGUCGAAAACCUAUCGCAACAAGUCGAGCUUUGUAAACAGUAACAUUACCGUCAGCGUUAGUCUUCUUCUUGAAGAUCCAUUUAUUUUCUAUUACUUGCCCAUCAUCGGGCAAGUCAACCAAAGUCCACACUUUGUUCUCAUACAUGGAUCCCAUCUCAGAUUUCAUGGCCUCAACCCAUUUCAUGGAAUCUAGGCUCAUCAUCGCUUCCUCAUAGUUCGUAGGUUCAUCAUGGUCAAGUAACAUGACCUCCAGAACAGGAUUACCGUACCACUCUGGUGCGGAUCUUACUCUGGUUGACCUACGAGGUUCGGUAGUAACUUGAUCAGAAGUUUCAUGAUCAUCAUCACUAGCUUCCUCACUAAUUGGUGUAGGAAUCACCGAAACUGACUUCUGUGAUUAACUACUUUCCAAUUCGGGAGAAGGUACAAUGACCUCAUCAAGUUCUACUUUCCUCCCACUCACUUCUUUCGAGAGAAACUCCUUCUCUAGAAAGGAUCCAUUCUUAGCAACGAAUAUUUUGCCUUCAGAUCUGUGAUAGAAGGUGUACCCAACAGUCUCCUUUGGGUAUCCUAUGAAGACACAUUUCUCCGAUUUGGGUUCGAGCUUAUCAGGUUGAAGCUUUUUCGCAUAAGCAUCGCAGCCCCAAACUUUAAGAAACGACAACUUGGGUUUCUUGCCAAACCACAGUUCGUAUGGUGUCGUCUCAACGGAUUUAGAUGGUUCCAUAUUUAACAUGAAUGUAGCCGUCUGAUAACCCACAAGUAUAGGGGAUCGCAAUAGUUUUCGAUAAGUAAGAGUGUCGAACCCAACGAGGAGCUAAAGGCAGAACAAAUAUUCCCUCAAGUUCUAUCGACCACCGAUACAACUCUAUGCAUGCUUGAUGUUCGCUUUACCUAGAACAAGUAUGAAACUAGAAAUACUAUGUAGGUGUUGUUGGAUAGGUUUACAAGAUAAUAAAUAGCAAGUAAAUAAAAAGUAGGGGCUGUUUAGAUAAAGACACAACUAAGUUAGUUUUAGUAAAGAGCUUUUUGUUACGAGAAAGUUAUUUGUCCCUAGGCAAUCGAUAACUAGACCGAUAAUCAUUAUUGCAAUUUUAUAUGAGGAAGAGGCAUAAGCUAACAUACUUUCUCUACUUGGAUCAUAUGCACUUAUGAUUGGAACUCUAGAAAGCAUCCUCAACUACUAAAGAUCAUUAAGGUAAAACCCAACCAUAGCAUUAAAGUAUCAAGUCCUCUUUAUCCCAUACGCAAACAACCUACUUACUCGGGUCUGUGCUUCUGUCACUCACGCCACCCACCAUAAGCAAAUCAUGAACAUAUUGCAAACCCUACAGCAGGAAUCCCUCACGCUUGCGCGACACAGAGAGCACCAUAGGACAGCACCAAUAAUAAAACAUGCAACUCAAACCAAUCACGAUCAUUAAUUAACCCAUAGGACAAAACGGAUCUACUCAAACAUCAUAGGAUAGCCAUACAUCAUUGGGAAAUAAUAUAUAGCAUUGAGCACCAUGUUUAAGUAGAGAUUACAGUGAGUAAAAUAGAGGUUACACUGCUGCAUAGAGGGGGGAAGAGUUGGUGAUGAUGGCGGUGAAGUUGUUGGUGAAGAUUGCGGUGAUGAUGAUGGUCCCCGGUGGCACUCCGGUGCCACUGGAAGCGAGGGGGAGAGAGCCCCCCUCCAUCUUCUUCUUCCUUGAACUCCUCCCUAGAUGGGAGAAGGGUUUCCCCUCUGGUCCUUGGUCUCCAUGACGUGGGAGGGGCGAGAGCCCCUCCGAGAUUGGAUCUCUCUCUCUCUCUCUCUCUCUCUCUCUCUCUCUCUCUCUGUUUCUGUGUUCCCAGAUUCUCCCUUUCACCAUUUCUUAUAUUUUCGUAGAUCUGCAACUCCGAUUGGGCUGAAAUUUUAACACGAUCUCUAUUCGGAUAUUAGCUUUCUUGCGGCGAAAGAAGGGCAUCAACCGCCUUACGGGGUGGCCACGAGGGUCAGGGGCGCGCCCAGGGGGUGGGGCGCCCCCCUGCCUCGUGCCUCCCUCGGGCACCGUCUCGCAUGGAUUUUUCUUCCCCAAAAUCAUAUAUAUUCCAAAAAAAUCUCCGUCAGUUUUUAUCCCGUUUGGACUCCGUUUCAUAUGGAUAUUCUGCGAAACAAAAAACAUGCAACAAACAGGAACUGACACUGGGCAAUGGAUGAAUAUGUUAGUCCCAAAAAUAGUAUAAAAAGUUGCCAAAAGUAUAUGAAAGUUGUAGAAUAUUGGCAUGGAACAAUAAAAAAUUAUAGAUACGAGAGAGACGUAUCAGUAUCCCCAAGCUUAAUUCCUGCUCGUCCUCGAGUAGGUAAAUGAUAAAAAAGAUAAUUUUUGAUGUGGAAUGCUACCUAGCAUAAUCUUGAUCACAUAUCUAAUCAUGGCAUGAAUAUUAAGACACGAGUGAUUCAAAGCAAUAAUCUAUCAUUUGACAUAAAAACAAUAAUACUUCAAGCCCACUAAUAAAGCAAUCAUGUCUUUUCAAAAUAACAUGGCCAACGAAAGUUAUCCCUACAAAAUCAUAUAGUCUGGCUAUGCUCCAUCUUCACCACACAAAAUAUUCACAUCAUGCACAACCCCGAUGACAAGCCAAGCAAUUGUUUCAUACUUUUGACGUUCUCAAACCUUUUCAACUUUCACGCAAUACAUGAGCGUGAGCCAUGGACAUAGCACUAUAGGUGGAAUAGAAUGGUGGUUGUGGAGAAGACAAAAAGGAGAAGAUAGUCUCACAUCAACUAGGCAUAUCAACGGGCUAUGGAGAUUCCCAUCAAUAGAUAUCAAUGUGAGUGAGUAGGGAUUGCCAUGCAACGGAUGCACUAGAGCUAUAAGUGUAUGAAAGCUCAGACUGAAAACUAAGUGGGUGUGCAUCCAACUUGCUUGCUCAUGAAGACCUCGGGCGUUUGAGGAAGCCCAUCAUCGGAAUAUACAUGCCAAGUUCUAUAAUGAAAAUUCCCACUAGUAUAUGAAAGUGAUAACUCAAGAGCCUCUCUAUAUGAAGAACAUGGUGCUACUUUGAAGCACAAGUGUGGUAAAAGGAUAGUAACAUUGCCCCUUCUCUCCUUUUCUCUCCUUUUUUUUGUGGGCUUCUUUGGCCUCUUUUUUUAUUUGGGCUUCUUUGGCCUCUUUUAUUUAUUUUUAAAGUCCGGAGUCUCAUCCCGACUUGUGGGGGAAUCAUAGUCUCCAUCAUCCUUUCCUCACUGGGACAAUGCUCUAAUAAUGAUGAUCAUCACACUUUUAUUUACUUACAACUCAAUAUUACAACUCGAUACUAGAACAAAGAUAUGACUCUAUAUGAAUGCCUCCAGCAGUGUACCGGGAUGUGCAAUGAUCUAGCGUAGCCAUGACAUCAAAAAAUGGAUAAGCCAUGAAAACAUCAUGCUAGCUAUCUUACGAUCAUGCAAAGCAAUAUGACAAUGAAUGCUCAAGUCAUGUAUAUGAUGAUGAUGGAAGUUGCAUGGCAAUAUAUCUCGGAAUGGCUAUGUAAAUGCCAUGAUAGGUAGGUAUGGUGGCUGUUUUGAGGAAGGUAUAUGGUGGGUUUAUGGUACCGGCGAAAGUUGCGCGUUACUAGAGAGGCUAGCAAUGGUGGAAGGGUGAGAGUGCGUAUAAUCCAUGGACUCAACAUUAGCCAUAAAGAACUCACAUACUUAUUGCAAAAGUCUAUUAGCUAUCGAAACAAAGUACUAAGUGCAUGCUCCUAGGGGGAUAGUUUGGUAGGAAAAGACCAUCGCUCGUCCCCGACCGCCACUCAUAAGGAAGACAAUCAAUAAAUAAAUCAUGCUCCGACUUCAUUACAUAACGGUUCACCAUACGUGCAUGCUACGGGAAUCACAAACUCCAACACAAGUAUUUCUACAAUCCACAACCACCCACUAGCAUGACUCUAAUAUCACCAUCUUUAUAUCGCAAAACUAUUGCAAGGAAUCAAACAUAUCAUAUUCAGUGAUCUACAAGUUUUAUGUAGGAUUUUAUGACUAACCAUGUGAAUGACCAAUUCCUAUCAUCUCUCUAAAUAGAUAUAAGUGAAGCAAGAGAGUUUAAUUCUUUCUACAAAAGAUAUGCCCACGCUCUAACAAAUAUAAGUGGAGCAAAAGAGCAUUCUACAAAUGGUGUUUUUUAUGUAAAGAGAGACAGGCAAUCCAAACUUCAAAUGAUAUAAGUGAAGCACAUGAAGCAUUCUACAAAGCCAUACUCAAAAGAUAUAAGUGAAGUGCAUAGAGCAUUCUAUAAAUCAAUCGAGGACUAUCUCAUACCAGCAUGGUGCAUAAAAGAAAAAAAAUGAAAACUAAAUGCAAAGACACUCGAAGAUUUACACAUAUCACAUGAAUGAAACGAAUCCGAAAACAUACUGAUACUUGUUGAAGAAAGAGGGGAUGCCUUCCGGGGCAUCCCCAAGCUUAGAUGAUUGAAUCUCCUUGAAUAUUUACUUGUGGUGCCUUGGGCAUCCCCAAUUAUCUUGAGCUCUUGCCUCUCUUCCUUCUUCUUACAUCGAGACCUUCUCGAUCAUCAAACACUUCAUCCACACAAAACUUCAACAGAAAACUCGGUAAGAUCCGUUAGUAUAAUAAAGCAAAUCACUACUCUAAGUACUAUUGUAAACCAAUUCAUAUUUUGUUUUUGCAUUGUGUCUACUGUAAUAUAACUUUUUCAUGGCUUAAUCCACUGAUAUGAAUCGAUAGUUUCAUCAAAACAAGCAAACUAUGCAUCAAAAACAGAAUCUUUCUAAAACAGAACAGUCUAUAACAAUCUGAACAUUCACCAUACUUUUGAUACUUUAAAAAUUCUACCAAAAUUAGUAAAAAUAAAAAAAUUGUAUAUAAAGACAGUGCAAAAAUAAUCAGAACCAUUUGACGUUCCAGCUAAAAAUGUAAAAUCGCGCACUACAGCCAAAGUUUAUGUCCUGCACCGUACAAACCAACAAGCAUUGUAAACAUCCUAAAGGCAAACCUUGGCACAUUAUUUUUAUAAUACAAUGGAAUUGUACAAGGGGAUAAUUAUUUUUUGAAAAGUUCCUGUAAUCAAGAUUCACAAAGUUCCCGUGAGCAUGAACAAAGUUCAAGGCUAGCUCCUACUUCAACAAUGCUCGUCUUUCUCACUUUCGUUUUCCUUUUUGAAAAAGUUUUGGGUUCCCCUCUUUAUUUUUUUUGUUUUUAAACUAUAUAAAAGCACUCAACAGAAGUAAAUGACUCUCUAAAACUUCCGGGUUGUCUCCCUGGCAGCGCUUUGUUUAAAGCCAUUAAGCUAGGCAUAUAGUGCUCAAGUAGUGAAUCCACCCGGAUCCCAAGGUAUAUCAAAGCCAAUUUUAAUUAACAAUGAUUUGUUAUUUAGUAGUGAGCACAAAGUAACAUAUAUCAUGUAACAACUAACUCUAACUCUCUUCCUAUGCAUCAGCAUGUCAUAAAAGAACAAUUCAUGCACACAUAGUAAAGGCCAAUGCAUAGUAUAAACAGUUUCUUGCAAUUUUAUCGUAUUGGAAACAUAGAGAGGUGGAGAUAUAGUUCCUAUCUCAUAAUAAUUGCAAGUAGGAGCAGCAAGCACAUGCAUAUUAUAUCUAUCAAAAUCAUCAUGUGUAGUAGUAAAAGGCAACCCAUCAAUAUAAUCCUUAAUAAGCACAAACUUCUCCGAUAUAGUAUAGUUUGGAGAAUUCAAAAAGAUAAUAGGACUAUCAUGUGUGGGUGCAAUAUCAACAAUUUCAUGUUUAACAUAAGGAAAUAUAGCAAGUUCAUCUCCAUAAGCAUAAUUUAUAUUGGCAUCUUGGCCACAAGCAUAGCAAGCAUAAUCAAAAAGGGAUAUUUCAAGAGAGUCAACGGGAUCGUAACAAUCAUCAUAGCAAUCAUCCUUCGGUAAGCACGAAGAGAAAUUAAACAAUGUAUGAGUUGAAGAGUUACUCUCAUUAGAAGAUGGGCACGGGUAGCUAAUCCGCUCUUCCUCCUUUUGUUCUUCGCUCUCCUCCUCAUCUUUUUCAUCCAAUGAGCUCACAGUUUCAUCAAUUUCUUCUUCCAUAGACUCCUGCAAAAUAGUAGUCUCUUCUUGGACAGCGGAGUAGUCCUCAAUAUAUGGUUCAACAUAGGCAUUAGAAGUAUAAUUAUCAUAACAAUAUUUAAGUAUGGCAAAAUUUUCAGAUUUGUAAAGAGUAGCAUCACACUUUUCAAUCAAAGAAUCAAUUUCGUAAGCACCCUUAAAAGCAACAAAUUCUUCAAUUUGUUGAACAUCAUAGUAAUUAUAAACACCCUUAGCAUACGAAGAUACGAUUCCAUUAUCACUAAACUCACAUUUAUAGGGGAGAUGUUUCUUAGGGUUUUCAGAACAACAAGUAAAAUCAUAUAUUUCACAUAAAUUCCAAGCAUAGCAUUGCAAACGAUGAAUUUGACCCAGUAAAAGUUUCCCUUUUUCAGAUAUACGGUGUCGCACAUAACAAGCAUGCCCAUCUAAAGAUUUGCCCUCAACUAAGCUAGUUGGGGUUUCAGCACGAGCACAUAGGGAUCGAAGAUGAUCUAAGUAAUAAGCUUCAAGAGUGUGAUAGAUUUUGAGUGGUUCUUCAACCAUUGGUUCAGUAGGUACAACUAUUUUUUUGGUAUUUUGCGUUUCCUACCCAUAACUAAAGAUAGAAAACAACUAAGAACAACAAAUAAAAAUUACUUAGUCAUAAAGCAAACAAGCACACACGAGAAUAUUCACCCCAUGCUAUUCCUCCCCGGCAACGACGCUAGAAAAAGGUCUUGAUAACCCACAAGUAUAGGGGAUCACAACUAUUUUUGAUAAGUAAGAGUGUCGAACCCAACGAGGAGCUAAAGGCAGAACAAAUAUUCCCUCAAGUUCUAUCGACCACCGAUACAACUCUAUGCACGCUUGAUGUUCGCUUUACCUAGAACAAGUAUGAAACUAGAAGUACUAUGUAGGUGUUGUUGGAUAGGUUUAAAAGAUAAUAAAGAGCAAGUAAAUAAAAAGUAGGGGCUGUUUAGAUAAAGACACAACUAAGUUAGUUUUAGUAAAGAGCUUUUUGUUACGAGAAAGUUAUUUGUCCCUAGGCAAUCGAUAACUAGACCGGUAAUCAUUAUUGCAAUUUUAUAUGAGGGAGAGGCAUAACAUAACAUACUUUCUCUACCUGGAUCAUAUGCACUUAUGAUUGGAACUCUAGCAAGCAUCCUCAACUACUAAAGAUCAUUAAGGUAAAACCCAACCAUAGCAUUAAAGUAUCAAGUCCUCUUUAUCCCAUACGCAAACAACCUACUUACUCGGGUCUGUGCUUCUGUCACUCACACCACCCACCAUAAGCAAAUCAUGAACAUAUUGCAAACCCUACAGUGGGAAUCCCUCACGCUUGUGCGACACGGAGAGCACCAUAGGACAACACCAAUAAUAAAACAUGCAACUCAAACCAAUCACAAUCAUCAAUUAACCCAUAGGACAAAACGGAUCUACUCAAACAUCAUAGGAUAGCCAUACAUCAUUGGGAAAUAAUAUAUAGCGUUGAGCACCAUGUUUAAGUAGAUAUUAAAGUGGGUAAAAGAGAGGUUACACUGCUGCAUAGAGGGGGGAAGAGUUGGUGAUGACGGCGGUGAAGUUGUUGGUGAAGAUUGCGGUGAUGAUGAUGGCCCCCGGUGGCACUCCGGUGCCACUGGAAGCGAGGGGGAGAGAGCCCCCCUCCUUCUUCUUCUUCCUUGACCUCCUCCCUAGAUGGGAGAAGGGUUUCCCCUCUGGUCCUUGGUCUCCAUUACGUGGGAGGGGUGAGAGCCCCUCCGAGAUUGGAUCUGUCUCUCUGUCUCUCUCUGUUUCUGCGUUCCCAGAUUCUACCCUUUCACCGUUUCUUAUAUCCCCGGAGAUCCGUAACUCCGAUUGGGCUGAAAUUUUAAUACGAUCUCUAUCCGGAUAUUAGCUUUCUUGCGGUGAAAGAAGGGCAUCAACUGCCUUACGGGGUGGCCACGAGGGUCAGGGGCGCGCCCAGGGGGGUGGGGCGCGCCCCCCUGCCUCGUGCCUCCCCCGGGCACCGUCUCGCGUGGAUUUUUCUUCCCAAAAAUCAUAUAUAUAUAUAUAUAUUCCAAAAAAAUCUCCAUCAAUUUUUAUCCCGUUUGGACCCCGUUUGAUAUGAUAUUCUGCGAAACAAAAAACAUGCAACAAACAGGAACUGGCACUGGGCACUGGAUGAAUAUGUUAGUCCCAAAAAUAGUAUAAAAAGUUGCCAAAAGUAUAUGAAAGUUGUAGAAUAUUGGCAUGGAACAAUCAAAAAUUAUAGAUACGACAGAGACGUAUCACCAUCUCUAAAGCAUAACCCCAAAAUGAUAGCGGUAAAUCAGUAAGAGACAUCAUAGAUCACACCAUAUCUAAUAAAGUACGAUUACGACAUUCGGACACACCAUUACACUGUGGUGUUCCAGGCGGUGUGAGUUGUGAAACUAUUCCACAUUGUUUCAAAUGAAGACCAAACUCGUAACUCAAAUAUUCACCUCCACGAUCAGAUCGUAGAAACUUUAUUUUCUUGUUACGUUGAUUUUCCACUUCACUCUGAAAUUGUUUGAACUUUUCAAAUGUUUCAGACUUAUGUUCAUCAAGUAGAUAUACCCAUAUCUGAUCAAAUCAUCUGUGAAGGUUAGAAAAUAACAAUACCCGAUGCGAGCCUCAACACUCAUCGGACCGCAUACAUCAGUAUGUAUUAUUCCCAACAAGUCUGUUGCUCUUUCCAUUGUUCCGAAGAACGGAGUCUUAGUCAUCUUGCCCAUGAGGCAUGGUUCGCAAGCAUCAAGUGAUUCCAAAAGUCCAUCAACAUGGAAUUUCUUAAUGCGCUUUAAACCAAUAUGACCUAGACGACAGUGCCCCAAAUAAGUUGCUGUCGGUGUCAAAACCGGCGAAUCUCGGGUAGGGGGUCCCGAACUGUGCGUCAAGGCCGGAUGGUAACAGGAGACAAGGGACAAGAUGUUUUUUACCCAGGUUUGGGCCCUCUCGAUGGAGGUAAUACCCUAUUCCUGCUUGAUUAAUAUUGAUGAUAUGGGUAGUACAAGAGUAGAUCUACCACGAGAUCAAGGAGGCUAAACCCUAGAAGCUAGCCUAUGGUAUGAUUGUUGUGUAUGGAGUUGAUUGCCUACGGACUACAACCCUCCGGUUUAUAUAGACACCAGAUAGGGUUAGGGUUACAUAGAGUCGGUUACAAUGGUAGGAGAUCUUGAAUAUCCGCAUCGCCAAGCUUGCCUUCCACGCCAAGGAAAAUCCCAUCCGGACACGGGACGAAGUCUUCAAUCUUGUAUCUUCAUAGUCCAGGAGUCCAGCUGAAGGUAUAGUCCGGCUACCCGAACACCCCCUAAUCCAGGACUCCCUCAGUAGCCCCCGAACCAGGCUUCAAUGACGAUGAGUCCGGCGCGGAGAUUGUUCGGCAUUGCAAGGCGGGUUCCUCUCCAAAUCUUGUGUACCUGUAGGAAUAAUGUCCGAUUUUUGUAAUGUAGUGCUCCUCGGCUUCCACGCCCAAUAAUGGCCAUCUUCCACAUGUUCAAACGAAUGCGAAAAGCCGGGGUGUUUUUACAUCCACACCCCUAGCCGUAUAAACGAGCCGCCUAUUUAACGGGAUGGGGAUUUAGGUCCAAACCACAUCUUCUCCUUUCCGCGAGUUAUCAUCAGAGCGCUUCCAACAAAGGUCCAUUCCAACAUGACCAGCCGUCGCAGCUCCUCCCCUCGCCCUCCGGUCCCAAACCCGAGGACUGGGAGAGUUGUUCCAUCCCGCAUAGCGAGUUAGCGUCACUUCAGGCCAAGGGAUUUCUCCCUCAGGCAUACAUGGUCCCGGUCCGAGCCGGUCUCGCCACCUAUAAUGGCGGAAAACAAGCGGAGAGCACCCCCAAUCCUUCUAAAGGAGAGCGGGUGUGCCUCGUCCCCUAUCUAAUAAGGGGACUGGGAUUUCCAAUUCACCCAUUUCUCCGCGGGCUUCUGGAGUUCUACGGCCUCCAGCUGCACAACCUCACGCCCGCCUCCGUAUUGCAUAUUGCGGGUUUCGUCGCCCUUUGCGAGCUAUUUUUAGGCGUUGAGGAUCAUUUCGCGCUGUGGAAGAGGUUAUUCUGCCUGGUGCCCCGUUAUAAAGAGGGGUCUAUAUACCAAGUGGGCGGAGCCGAAGUAUGGCGCAUCGCCGGGACCGGAUACCUAUCCGGAACCCCAAAGAAGGCGUCCGAGGACUGGCCUUCGGAAUGGUUUUAUAUAGAUGACGUCCCGCUACCGGACCCUAUCCGGGUCGGUCUCCCUGAGUUCAACAGUGCUCCAUUGAAGAAACGCUUGAGCUGGCGUCCGCGGAGCUCUCAGAGAGAGAGCGACAGAGACGUCCUUUACCUGAUGGGCCGGAUAACACUGUUGGCUCAUUCCGGACUAACCAUGAUUGGAGUCAUGGCCGCAUGCAUUAUGCGGGGGGUGCAGCCACUUCAAUAUAGAGGCCACCCCAUGUGGGAUUUCAACGGGGAGGAUGACGCCACCCGUUACGGUCGUAAGGGGCCGGCUUUAGCUGCCGCCCUAGUAAAGAUCUUAUCCUCUUUGUACAAGGGAGAAAAGGAGGAAUUCCUCCGCGUCAACCCGCAGGCCGGAUUUACUAUGUACGUUCCUCCAAGUUGGGUAAGUGAACAACUGCGCUUGCCCGUUUGUUUUGUACUCCCACGGUUAGAUAUGUAGUCUAACGACUUCAAUGCAGGAACUGCGACAGGUGGUAAAGGAUAUAAACAAUCGCCCUCCACAACCCGAGGACCCAGAUCGGUCCCUCGAUCCGGACUCCGAAGAGGAUCCGGACAUAUCGGUGGAGCUUAUCGACGGGGUGUUCCAUCAGCUAAGCAAGGACAAUACCUUGGUAGCCAUCACGGCUGAUUACCCAGGGUUAAUCCCGGCCUCCCAGGUGACAGAAACCGGAGUCUCAUUCCCUUGAGGGAGAUUCCACUCUCACGUAUUCCAGUGUUUCUGACGACAACCAUGUUUUCCAGGGGAGAUUUCCGAGGCAGGAGGCCGAACCUGCGGCGGCUAGCCAACGAGGGGCCGCAGGGCCCCGUGGGGCAAAAAGGAAUGUAGUUCGAACUGAGAUGCCGGCGCAAAGGUAUAGCACACCCUCUGCUUCCCUGGUGUUAUUCUGUCCGGGCAUAUUAACGUUCGUGCUAUCUUCAGAACGAAGAGACCUCGCCGGACUAUAUCCGGAGAGGUUGCCAAUCGCGCCUCCACCAGCCAGGCUCCAACGUCUGGCCAGGAAGCGGAGGCGAGCACAAGGCGCGCACAGGACGCUCCUCCGACAGAGGAUGCGGAUAGUCUGUCUGCCACAAAUUCUGAAGUGGAGAGUGCCAUGAACCACAGGCGUUGCCGGACAGUUCUACGCGACGCUUGUUUCUCCCAAGAGGCUUUAGAUGCCUUUAAUUCGGGAGAUGCGUACCUCCGUGCCGCUCAAAAUGGUUUAGCCAGAGCCACGGAGCAGUAUGUAAAAGACAUACGGGUAAGAAAAUUUUGGUCAAAUAUAUAUUACCCGUAGCCCCCGAGACUUGAAACAGUUAGAGCAACUGAUUUAAGGAUCAUUUAAUAUUUAGGUUCUUACAGAGAAGAAUACUGUACUGUCCCAGGAGCUGGAAAAGUGCAAGGCCCAACUAGAGGCCGCACUAGCCGCAGUGGGGGAGUCCAAAGAGACCCCCUCAGGUAAGAUACACUUCGAAAGAUUAGUAUUGUGUGGUGUGGGUGCAAAUCUGACAAAUCAUGUUGCAGAUGGCGCCGGACUCGAUCCGGAAAAGCAACAACUCUUACGCCAGCUAAAGGCUGGUGAGAGUACGUUGACAAAGGUGAGGCGAGAGCAGAAUGAUCUUCAGGAUGCCAACACCAGGCUGGACGUCGAACUUAAAGAUGUUCGUGGCCAGCUGUCGGACUCCACGAAGGAGAAUCAGCGGCUUCGACGCGGCAUAUUUAGUAAGUGCUUGAACGAACUUUGAAAAAA
rnacentral:lncRNA from 1 species